CGCGUAGGCGGCCAUCUAAGUCAGACGUGAAAUCCCCCGGCUUAACCUGGGAACUGCGUCUGAUACUGGACGGCUCGAGUAUGGGAGAGGGAUGUAGAAUUCCAGGUGUAGCGGUGAAAUGCGUAGAUAUCUGGAGGAAUACCGGUGGCGAAGGCGGCAUCCUGGACCAUUUACUGACGCUGAGGCGCGAAAGCUAGGGAGCAAACG
rnacentral:rRNA from 1 species